rnacentral:rRNA from 2 species
AACUCUGUUGUUACAGAAGAACAAGUGUUAGAGUAACUGUUAACACUUUGACGGUAUUUAACCAGAAAGCCACGGCUAACUACGUGCCAGCAGCCGCGGUAAUACGUAGGUGGCAAGCGUUGUCCGGAUUUAUUGGGCGUAAAGCGAGCGCAGGCGGUUUUGUAAGUCUGCUGUGAAAGCCCUCAGCUCAACUGAGGAAGUGCAGUGGAAACUACAAAACUUGAGUACAGAAGAGGAAAGUGGAACUCCAUGUGUAGCGGUGAAAUGCGUAGAUAUAUGGAAGAACACCAGUGGCGAAGGCGGCUUUCUGGUCUGUUACUGACGCUGAGGCUCGAAAGCAUGGGUAGCGAACAGGAUUAGAUACCCUGGUAGUCCAUGCCGUAAACGAUGAAUACUAGGUGUUGGAGGGUUUCCGCCCUUCAGUGCCGCAGCUAACGCAUUAAGUAUUCCGCCUGGGGAGUACGACCGCAAGGUUGAAACUCAAAGGAAUUGACGGGGGCCCGCACAAGUGGUGGAGCAUGUGGUUUAAUUCGAUGCUACGCGAAGAACCUUACCAGCUCUUGACAUCUUCUGCCAACCCAAGAGAUUGGGCGUUCCCUUCGGGGACAGAAUGACAGGUGGUGCAUGGUUGUCGUCAGCUCGUGUCGUGAGAUGUUGGGUUAAGUCCCGCAACGAGCGCAACCCUUAUUAUUAGUUGCCAGCAUUUAGUUGGGCACUCUAGUGAGACUGCCGGUGAUAAACCGGAGGAAGGUGGGGACGACGUCAAAUCAUCAUGCCCCUUAUGAGCUGGGCUACACACGUGCUACAAUGGAUGGUACAACGAGUCGCGAAACCGCGAGGUCAAGCUAAUCUCUUAAAGCCAUUCUCAGUUCGGAUUGCAGGCUGCAACUCGCCUGCAUGAAGUUGGAAUCACUAGUAAUCGUGGAUCAGCAUGCCACGGUGAAUACGUUCCCGGGCCUUGUACACACCGCCCGUCACACCAUGAGAGUUUGUAACACCCAAAGACGAUGGGGUAACCUUUUAGGAGCUAGU